rnacentral:lncRNA from 1 species
AGGGGAGCUUCUCCGAUGGCGACGGCGACCACCAUCCAGGCCUCCUUGCUCACCUUGGAGAUGCAGAGGAGGAGGAGCCGCGCCUGCGGGAGCUCUCCACGGAGGAGGAGAUUUCGUGGCGGUGGUGCGGAGCGUACGGCAGUGGAGGGGCUGGAGAGACCGGGCCCACAUCGCUGAAGCAGUGGGCGUGGAGCAGGGGAGGAUGAGGGCGAUGGGCAUGAGGGAAGGAGCAGCGAGGUCGGAGUUCCAGGGGAUGCCGGCCGUCGUCACAUGUCCCCAGUGUAGGUUGCCCAUCUGCGGCCAGAGUUAUCUUCCUCCCCAGUUUUCACUCCUCGUUUAUUGUUUUUCUAAACAUAUGUGUGCAGAUCUGAGGAACAAAAAGAAGGGGAUGAAUCUUGAGGAAGAGCUUGGCUAAGAACAAGGUGAUAUCUCUCUCUCUCUCCAUCCCUCUCAAUUUAAAUCCAGUUUCAUGUUCUUUCCUCCCCAGUUUUUGAUUUAUUGUUUUUUUAAACAUAUGUGUGCAGAUCUGAGGAACAAAAAUAAGGGGAUGAAUCUUGAGGAAGAGCUUGGAUAAGAACAAGGUGAUCUCUCUCUCUCUCUCUCUCUCUGAAUUUAAGUCCAGUUUCAUCGUUCUUUAUUGAUGCUAUUUCUCGUGGGAUAUUCAGGAGUUGAGAACAUAUAUUUUGUAGGUGUUCGUAAUGGCAACGGUUGUAAUCAACGAUGAGAAAAAGGGGCUGAGAUUGGAUUUGUACUAGGCAUGUUCCUCAUCUCUCUCAGUCCUUGUUCCUAUCCCCACCCUGAUGUAACUGUUUCUUCACAACUGUUGGAUGUGUCUUAGGAGAUAAAUGCCAUGAAUUGUUUAGAUUCUUGUUGAGCUAACCACUAACAAAUUGUUUGUCCCCUUGUUAAAGCUAAUCAUAGUAAUAUCUGGUAAUCGUCCCAGUCAAAAAAAAAUAUCUGGUAAUCGUCCGGCUGAUGUGUAUGGUGGCAACCAAAUUCAUGUUGAUGAACUGAAUCAAAUCUGUAGUAAAGUUAGUGUUAAAUCACACAUGUGUACAUUCAGGUUCAAUACACUCGAGCAGUUUUGUCACAUCUGUGGAUUUAGUAUGACAAGAAAAUUACUUGGAAACCC